AGAAACUUAGGUUAAAAAUAACCCAAGAGCCUUCAAAGCCUAAACAGUAGGACGAACACCCCCCUAGUUUCUG
rnacentral:tRNA from 1 species